GCCUACGGGAGGCAGCAGUGGGGAAUAUUGGACAAUGGGCGAAAGCCUGAUCCAGCCAUGCCGCGUGUGUGAAGAAGGCCUUCGGGUUGUAAAGCACUUUCAGUGGGGAAGAAAGCCUUGGGGCUAAUACCCUCGAGGAAGGACAUCACCCACAGAAGAAGCACCGGCUAACUCCGUGCCAGCAGCCGCGGUAAUACGGAGGGUGCGAGCGUUAAUCGGAAUUACUGGGCGUAAAGCGCGCGUAGGCGGUCUGAUAAGCCGGUUGUGAAAGCCCCGGGCUCAACCUGGGAACGGCAUCCGGAACUGUCAGGCUAGAGUGCAGGAGAGGAAGGUAGAAUUCCCGGUGUAGCGGUGAAAUGCGUAGAGAUCGGGAGGAAUUCCAGUGGCGAAGGCGGCCUUCUGGACUGACACUGACGCUGAGGUGCGAAAGCGUGGGUAGCAAACAGGAUUAGAUACCCCAGUAGUC
rnacentral:rRNA from 1 species